GAGUGGCAAGUGUGCAGUCGCUGUGUAACGUUAUGUUAUGCAGAGGAAAGUCCGAACUUCAUAGGGCAGGGUGCCGAUCGAGAGCCUGAAAAGCUCAAGCUCGGGAAUGGAUAGGUAAACUAUUCGUUACAGCAAGUGCAACAGAAAAAAUACCGCUAUAGCGUAAGUUAUAGUAAGGGUGAAAUGGCGGUGUAAGAGACCACCGACAGUGCAGUAAUGCAAUGUGCAAUGGCAAACCUCCCCGAAGCAAGGCUAAAUAUGAGAACUUUUCCCUUUAAAAAGGAAAGAGAGUUGCCCGCUCAAUUUAUUUAGGGCACCUCUAAAAAUUGUUAUGAGCACCUUUAGAGCGAGGCGGACGGAGCGCAGAAACCGGAGUGUACAGAUAGUACAUGAGGAUUUCGAGCACCGCCCAACGAAGCUAUCAAGGUGCGCAAUAGAUUUUUAGAGGUGCCCUAAUAAGAGUUUUCGGGUAAGCCGCAUCAGAUAAAUGACUGCAACAUUUUCCGCUUUUAGUGGUUAAUGAACAGAAUUCGGCUUAUAGCUUCCACUUUUGG
rnacentral:RNase_P_RNA from 2 species